GUGCUCGCUUUGGCAGUGCCCACACUAACACUGGACCGUUGCAGAGAAGAUUAGCAUGGCCCUGUGCAGGGAUGAUGUGCAAAUUCGUGGAGCUUGCAUAUUUUUA